UACGUAGGUGGCAAGCGUUGUCCGGAAUUAUUGGGCGUAAAGCGCGCGCAGGCGGCCUUUUAAGUCUGAUGUGAAAGCCCACGGCUCAACCGUGGAAGGUCAUUGGAAACUGAAAGGCUUGAGUACAGAAGAGGAAAGCGGAAUUCCACGUGUAGCGGUGAAAUGCGUAGAGAUGUGGAGGAACACCAGUGGCGAAGGCGGCUUUCUGGUCUGUAACUGACGCUGAGGCGCGAAAGCGUGGGGAGCAAACGGG
rnacentral:rRNA from 1 species